GCCAAAUGCUUCAAGAACUGGAUUGGAUUCUAGAACUUGCUGUUCAACAGUUCGCCCUUCCACCCCAGCCCGACCACCCAAGUGUGCAAGAUAUCGCAUGAGCAUCUUUGUUGUCUCAGUCUUACCAGCACCACUUUCUCCACUAACUAGAAUUGAGUUGCUCUUUCCCUCAUUGAUCAUUGCCCUGUAUGCAACAUCUGCAACUGCAAAAACAUGAGGGCUUAGCUCCCCAAAUUGAGCACCUUUAUAUUGUUCCAUCAUGUGAGUAUCAUACAGAUGUGGUAAUCUUUGAAAUGGGUUUAUAGCAAUCAGUAUAUUUCCAGUGUACGUAUAGAUUUCAUUAAGUUCAUAUCUGGUAGCCAAGUUAUGCAAAACUCCAGGUUCAUGCAAAUAUGACAACUUUGUCAUGUCAUCUACACCCCCUGGAGGAGCUUCAGUAUCCUUGGGGAACACUUUGGAUAUAUUUGCAACAACUGUUUUCCCAUUUGUGGUACGAACACGAACUUCUUCACCGUUUAUUUUAAAAACUUCACCAUCUAUCCAUGCCUCUGCUGCAUCUUCAACCCAUACAUGAGAACCUACUAUAAUGUUCACUGGUGCGGCCAUGGCGAUCCAACACUGCGAUCUUCUUUCUCUUUCAACUCAUUAGAAGAAAGACCAAGUCGAUGCGAAAUGAGACUCAGUGAGACGGAUCGGGAAGAAUAAGACUCGGUAGGUUUUGUCUUUGUGAGUUCCAACGCUAGAACUUCCCUUCUUCUUCGUCUUCGACGGACAAAAAAGAAAGCGGCGGUUGAAUUGAAUUUGAGCUGGAGAUGAAGAUGAUAACCACAAGCAAACAAAAGUUUUUUCAAGGAUUUCGCCCCCUUUUCAAAGCUUUUGUUUUUUUUGAAAUAUUAAACUACUUCAAAAAAUGAGAUUAAGGGAAGCUUAUAUAUCAAAAAG
rnacentral:misc_RNA from 1 species